UUAACUGCUAUAUAGCAAAAGCCCGUGCCCCGCACGUGCCACUUUCUAGUGUGGAAGUGUUUAAAAGGGGACUUAGGGCUCCCAUUCGUCUCUGGGUCCCCUUGGCUUUCUAGUUUCUAUACCUCGAAUCCAUGACGGCCGCCGCUCUGCCCCGCACUGGCUCCGGCGAGGGUUCGCGUCCGCCUUCGCCGCUCGCCGCUCGCCGCCAUGGAUCCGGAUCCCUAGGAGGAGGCUAGCGAGAAGUGAUCCUCCGUGGUUCUCCCCGUAGCGGCAGACGUUGGAGAUCUUAGGGCAAAGCGUAUUCAACCGGAGGUUGUCUCCUUGCACUCGCCUCUUACCAUGCUUCCAGUUGCUUCUUGUAAACUUUUGCUAAGAAGUGUAUCUAUAUUUUUUUCUCAAAAAAAUCGUUUCUUAUUUUAUUUCUUGUGUUGAAAUUUUAUCAGCGAGGCGUCUGGGCUUAUCUUUGCUUGAUUCUAUAGCGAUUUAUUAAUCUAUAGAAAAUGAGUAACCACUCAUUGCGCAUUUGAAGAAUCCUUACGACGAGAUCUUUGCUGACUCUUGCUCGAGCUGGCAAUCUAUUCUAUAGCGAUUCUAUAGCGAUUUACGACGAGAUUUAUUUUCUAAUUCUUCAUUAAAAUAGUUGGCAAGUGGAGAGAGCUUCUCCUAUGAUCAAGCUGGUCAUAACUCAACUGUUUUGUUAGGUGUCAUAAACAUGAUUUCUAUGAUUCCUCAAUAAUUGAGGAGACAUAGAGCAGCAAAUUCAUUAUAGUGAUGUUUUGUUUGAAGCGAUCGCUAGGUUUCCGAUCUUGUUGUUUUAAUAACAAUAGAAUUGAUGCUCAAGUUUAUCCAGAAUAGAGUGAACUAUGAUUCAACUUCUCUACUUCAUAACCCUUGCUAUGCUGAUCUAUGCGCAAUGGAGAUUUUCGCAAGAACUAGUAAGACAAUCUUUGAUGUUAUUCAACUCCAUAUAUUUUUCAACCAGAAUACUCAAUGGCAUGUGGUAUCUUCCUAAUGCCCUCUCAAGAUGAGAUUACAAUUUUUGAAGGUUUCCUAUCGAUUACAUCUAACUUAUCUAGUUAAAGAAAAGGGGGCUACGUGGAAGCAAUCAUACAGUUCAUAUUAGAGAACAUUCUUGCAGUCCCUCACAAAAUAUAAAUAGCCAUAUCUUCAAGAGAGAUUGCAUGCAUAUUGCUGCUAUCUACCUCUUCAGAGUGAAUCAAAUUAGACAUUUCUAUUUUUUUGAUUUGAAUCCUUAUAUGCCUUUUAUCUUAAAGGCCGAUAUAAUGAUUACUUUAGUGAGUUCCAAAUUUUUCAUUUCAUAUAUGUCUGUCUAUUUUAAGGUAUUUAAUUUCAAAGUUGAUUUUACAUUUUGUUCUUCACUUCAAAGUCAAUUUAUUUCCAGCAUUUUGUCAAAACUAUCUCAUUAGCGACUUUCAUUUGGAUAAGAAAUUAUCUCUUUGUACAUAUUAUAGGAGAAGUUUUUUUUUGUUGAAGUGUUUUGGAAUUUAAUCCCCUCUUAUACAGUGCAGUAAGCCUUCAGUUUUAUGUUUCUUUUAGCGGACUUAUAUGUAUUUAUUUUGAAUAAAUUUAACCUUAGCUUGCUUGAUGAAAUUGUGCUUUUCAUGCUUUUUGCCUUUGAUGAUAGACAGGCAUGAGCCCCAACAACAUUUGCGCACCAGGUUUUUGCCAUUGCCUGGGUUGUUGUUGGCAAGGAUGAAUGUGCCAUAAUGCUAAUCUGAGGUCACACUUCUUAACCUAACAUAUCAUCUGAUACACCUCAGAACCGAUCUCUUUUGACGAGGCAAACCAACUAAUGAAAGCCCAUUACCUAACUGAGGGCUGACCAUUGAAAGCUUGCCACAUGGCUAAACUAGAAAGUGUGCAAAGUAUCCUCUACAUUUCAAACUCACCUACCAGGUGGCAACAACUCGGCCAUGAUCACUAAUUGUUUUCUAAAUAAAUGCGACCUUUGAGCAAAUUCCUAUGACCGAGAAGCAUAGGUGUGAUUCACGAAUGAGACAUGCAGCUUGUUACUUUAUCAACCAGUGUAUUCCUUGAACUACUCGGCGGUGGGCUCUGGCCCUCACCUAUAUAUGUUGUGUUUCCAGAAGCCAUCCAUGUAAGUUCUCUUUUGACUCUCUUACACUGCAUCUUUGCCCUUCUCAGGCCUCCUCCUGUAUCCUGAGAGUCGUGUCUGACUUAAGCAUUAAAGGGAGUCCCUACCGGACAUGCUCCAGUGGGAGAAUUUCUUUAUUCUUGUUGUUUCAGAUCGGAGCCAACAUUGGAGCGCCGGUCAAAGCCAUCACUCUUCCAUUUAAUGCCAACUCACAAGCGCUCAGUGUCGGGAUCAUCGCCGAUCGUGUGCAGGGACCACCGGACAAUUGCCGCGUGGGCAUGUAGCGAUCCAUCCAAUCUAUCCGAUUCGGAUGGCAGACGAAUUGAGAUCUCCAGCAACCUCGAUAACUCAGUGCCUGGGUCGUCGGGCCAGUUCCCAACAACAACACCAUCUUUUUAGUUUUUAAUAUUUCUUCUAUAGCUUGUGAAAAUGAUGUCUUACUUCCUUAAAGAAAUAACUAAUGUUUUCUUACUUCGGUGGCAAUUUUCUCAAACUUAUUUACAUUUCACCUCACCAGUGGAAUAGGCUAGCAUAAGAUAAAAAUUACUUGGUAACGUAAGGUUUUUGACAUUUCUGUUCUCUGAAUACCUUUUCCUCACUGAAGUGCUCUGUGUUCAAGGUGUCAUUUCCUUUAUCAAGUUACAUAUGCCAGUUCAUGUUGGAUUGUUGGUGAAAUUAGUUUGCAUUGUUGCAUUGACAUUCAUCUUGAAAAGUUGAUAUCCGUUGCUUAGAUAUGCUAUCUCAUCAUCGAAUGACUUCAAAUAAGCUACCAGAUUUCUUUCAACAAUUUUAUAAUUUUAUGAUUUCUUUCAACAUAUGACAUUUCAUGUUGGAUUGUUGGUGAAAUUAGUUUGCAUUGUUGCAUUAGCAUGCAUCAUGAAAAGUUGAUAUCAGUUGAUUAGAUAUGCUAUCUCAUCAUUGAAUGACUUCAAAUAAGCUACCUGAUUUCUUUCAACAAUUUUAUGAUUUUCUUAUCUAAGUAUUCAUAUGCUUGAUUUUUAUUUCCCUAACUCUCAUUCAGUUUGAAAUUUCUGGUUUGAGGUGUUGAUUUGGCAUUGACUUCAGUUGAUAUUUCUUUGGCUAUAAUCGUGUUUAGUGUUACUCUAGCCAUUGAUGAUGAAGUAUGGCAUGAGCCUCAACAACAUUUGCGCAUCGGGUUGUUUUGCCUGAGUUGUUGUUAGUAAUGAUGAAUGUGCCAUAAUGCUAAUCUGAGGCUCAAGUUCUGGGUGCAUGCAAUCUAAUAGACACCAAUAUCAGCACCUUAUGUUUCUCUUGUUUAUGAACCUUCUUAGUACAAACAACUCCCGAGAGAUGCUGAAAGGGCAACAUGAACAUCUUAUAAUAUGGGUUCCAUUUCACUAUGGCCAACUGACAAUCCCUUUUCCAAUGAAGUCUUUUUUAUGUUAUUUUUUAAGCAGAUCAUCUUUAGACACCAACUCAAAGUGUUGGUUAAUGUAAGCAGUAGUUAUAUUCAAGACCAGGAAAAACUACUAAAAUGCACAGGUGCAAUUAUCUUAUAAUUUUUAUGUAUUGUUUGUCACUUCAAAAACCUUUUCCUUCAAUUAUAAGUUAAACAUAUUUCAUUUUGUGAUGCUAGUCUAGUGUUUUUUUUCCAUAUUUUUUAUUUUUUGAGCCAUUUCUUUGCAUCUAGUCAAUCAAAAUAAUCAGUUUAGGAGAUUCCCAUGUCUUUAUCUUCUUGAUUAUUGUUAAUGUAAUUCUUUAGGUUUUCUGAAGUUGAGUUUACUUGCAAGUCUGCCCUUAAUAAUGUGUUUAUAUGUUUGUGAUUUGAUAUUUGAAGUUCAUGUAAGCUUUUUAAUUGCCUUCACUUUAACUCUUUUUGUUCCCAAAUGCUUAUAGUGUAGGUUCCAAAGAAACAUUGCAUGUAGUCUGUCUUUGGCAUGGUUGUAAUUAGUAAGAAUGAAUGAAUUAUGAUAUUGAUCUGAGAACUAAAUAUUGAAGAGGUAACUGACAAAUGAUUUAACUAUUAUGAGCUUUUAUUUGACACUCUUUUGCUUAAUGUUCUGAUGGAGAUGCAAUUCAAGAGGGAGAAACAAAAACCUAGUUUCUCAUCAAUUAUAUUUAUUGACUUCAAACUAUUUGCAUGUCAUAUAGAAUAGGGCAUCUACAUUUUUCUACAUCAUUUAGUAAAACAAGCAUUUUAUUGUUAAAUUUGUUUUUGUAAUUGAGUUUAUUUUAUUCUUGUUGCUCUGAACGUUAUAGAUUUGUUUUUGCGCGAGUUUUUGCCAAAAGCCAAUUAUUCCACUUUAGAAAUCCAUGUGAUUUAGUUCAGAGAGGAGAUUUGAACCACUAUUUUCAUGCAUGAUCUCUCUCAUUAAGAUAAUAUUUAAUGUCACUUCAUUAUGAUGAUUUAUUAUAAUUAUACGUUUUGUAUAUGUAGGAUCAUCUAGCCUGUUAUGAACCAAUUUGGCCACUCAAGUAGAUUUGGACAAGCUUCGAGAGCAAAAUCUGCCAUAUCCAUGACUCAAUUGAGUAUCAAAACUUCGAGAAGUCAUAACUUCUAAUUCAGGAUAAUUUGGGCAGGUGAUUGAAGAUAAAGUUGAUGCAAGAGUUAAGAUUUAGCUUUUAUGUAAAUUCAAUAUUUUUAGAAUAAUUUUUAUUUUUUAAUUUGUAUCCUCUUUUAAUUAGGAGAGAAAUAUGAUCCAAUAUGGGUUGGACUUGACUAAUUUAAAAUGGGGAAAAUUUUCAUCCUCUUCUAACUACAAGAGGAAUAGUACAGGACUUGCAACUUCUCUUUUAGCUAGAAUAAGAAUUUGACUUAAAUAAGGAGUUAUAAAUAGAGCACAUAUGUCAUGCGUUUAGAGAAUGGGAAGUAGGGGGAGUGCAUAUACUCUACUUUUUACCCGCUCGAAUCCCAACAGACUUUACUUUCCACCUGUGACACAUAUCACAAUGUGUUGAAUGAAAAUUUAAUGGAAAUAGAGGGCUUAAAGCCCUGUUUUCUAAAGUUAUUAUUGUUUAUUAUUUUAUUUGAGAAAUUUGAGUUGAGCAAAUUGAAGGAGAUUACUUCCUUCUUGAUCAGUGUGGGGUCUAGAUUUUCAAAGUAGUACAAGCAUAAGGGAGAAAAGCUUUUAAUGCUUGAGGUAUAUCGAAGGACCAAUGGCUACUACUUCUAUAUUAGUAGAUGAUGAUGUGAAGGGUUGCUUUACUCGAGAGGUGAAGAUUGCCCACGUCACUGAGCUCAUAUGUCAAUUGAUGCCUUUAGCUUCAAUUCUUGCAACUCCUAUACAAAAUUGUCUCCAACAUUUGUGGACAAUGAGUUGCUUAUUCUACUGAUACUGACAAAGACGGAUAUUUCACAAUAGAGGAUGAGUUCAAACCAGAAAAACUAAGAGACUUAGCUGCAUGAUGGGAAACAGGCAUUUCCCUGAUUCCAGUUAGUUUAGCUAGAGUUAAAUUCCCCAAAUAGAAAGCUUUGAUUCAGGAGUAUUAUCUAACCUGUUACAGGCCAUUCUAACCACUCGAGUAGGUUUGGACAAGCUAUGGGAGCAAAAUCUACCACAUCCAUGAUUCAAUUGAGUAUUGAAACUUUGGAAAAUCAUGACUUCUAACCGGAGAGGAAUUUGGCUGCGACUGAAAGCAAAAUUGACGUAAAAGUUAAGAUCUAGCUUUUAUCCAAACUAGAAAUUUUUUAAAAUAUUUUUAUUAUUUUUGUAAAUAGUGUCAUGUUUUAAUUAGGAGAGGAAUCCAAUCUCGGACUUCGCUGGCACAAAAAGACGGGAGUUUUCCUCUUAUUCUAAUUAAAAGAGAAAUCCAACUCAAAUAAAGAGAUUAGAUCUCCAUAGAAUUGUAGAGAUCUUGCAACUUCUCCUCUUUUAGCUAGAAGAAGAAUUAGACUCAAAUGAGGAGGAUAUCACUUGCAUGAAUAGAGGACAUACCCUAUUAUUUUAGGGAAUGGGAAUAGAGAGAGUAUACUUUAUAAAUUAUAAGAAGUAUACUUUAUAAAUUUUAAUAAGCAAUAGUGUUAAUCUAACAGAUAUGCCGAGUCAUAAAUGGUGGCAAUGGUCCAAGAAAUGUACUUAAUAGUCCAUGGAAUUAUAUAUGCAUAAGCAACUCAGACCAUCACAUGUAAAUGAUGCAUAAGGGUUUGAUGCUGGAGAAGUAUUAAAGCUCACAAUACUAAGAGUCUUUGGGUGUGAUUUGAGUAAGAAUAGUUAAUAACACUAGAUAGAGGACUAAAGGUGGGCUAGUUUGUAUUUUGGACUGAACAUAGUAAGAAGAAACAAUGGUUUCAUAAAAUGUAAAGAUUGGAUGUUAAUCUUGCAUGCUUAAGGAAAACAAGCCUCUGAAAUGGAAUAGAUGAGGGCAAUGGAGUCAAAUAGAUACAAUAGUUAAACUAACUUAAAGACACAAUGGAAGGAAUAUGAUAAGAUUAAGAUUUUAUAGGACUUAUAGAGAAUCAUGAUCCAUUGUGGUUUGGAAUUGUACAAAAUAAAGGAAAAGGAGGAACCAUCACAUUUCAUUACAAAAACUUAGUUGCAUUGCUACAGCUUGAAGAACAAAUUCUCAGCACAAUCAUGAGCUUGUAAGGCUUUGACCCCUUCUACUACUUGAAAUAAGAGUGCAAGAACUAAAAAA